rnacentral:lncRNA from 1 species
GUACUAGUAGUUAUUGAAAUUUUAUUAAAUAAUUGAACUUUGUUUAUGGAGCUUACAUGAAGCAAUUAGUAAAAAAAAAUGAAACCAGCAAACAAUAUUGUAAUGUCAUCAAUUUAGGGUCCAACUGAAUUGUCUUUAAAUUAUUGAAAAUUGUUCUACCAUUCCGUCAAGGCAGGAAAUUAGUUUCUUCUUAAAGAGAACCAUCUCCAGAUAUAAUCUUAUAUUAUAUCAUGUUUUCGUGUGUGUUAGUCUUUGAAGGAUUUUAAAAAGAAAGUUAUUCAUAAGGAAUGAAAAAUUGAUAUUUGAAACUAAUUUUGAGAGUGAAGUUAUAGUUUCUUCUGCGAAAUGGUACAGAAACAUUGAAAUAAGAUGUAUACUUGCAGAUCAAAUUUACUGGAUUACCUCCCUUAAUUUAUUGGAAAAAGAAUGCUUUUGAUGAAGUAUAGUGAAGAAUCAUGACACUAUACAGGCUGUAAACUAAGAGUUCAAUAUCGAACAUUUAUCUAUUUAUUGCUUUCAUUCAAAUAAAUCUAUAAAAUAUGCUACAAUUAUUCAUGUCUAUUCAAUGAGUUCAUUUAUUUUUUUUAAGGUUUAUUAAUGAAUAUUUUCCAACUGAAAUUUGAUUAAAACAAAUUUAAACAAAGGAAAAAUAUUCUACAUGUACAAAAGUAUUACAGUACAAAUCUUUCAAAUUGGAAUAGAAAAACUAGGUUUGUAUCUCUCUUUCAAGGCAAAAAAUUCCUAGCAUUAUCUAUGAUGUGCAAAAAUAUUGACAAAAAUUUUACAAAUAUUUUCACACUUAACAUUAUUGACUAGAGCUUAGUUUGAUUCAUAAUAGGUACAGUGUAACCUGCCUAAUCCAACACUUAAGUAUUCCAACAUCCUGCUUUAACCCACACAUAUUCAUGGUCCCAAAAUAAGCGUAUCCUUGCAGAAAAAUCCGAGAAUUCUGAUACCCUGCUUAAUCUGACAUUUUGUUCUGGUCCCCCAGUGGGUCUGAUUACACAGUUUACACUGUACAUAUAUAUAUAUAUGCUUUAACCUUCUAAAAAAAGAAAAGGGCAGAUUGGUCACAAGAUUAUUUAGUUGGUGUGAAUUAAAAAAAAAA